rnacentral:rRNA from 1 species
UACGUAGGGGGCUAGCGUUGUCCGGAAUCAUUGGGCGUAAAGAGCUCGUAGGCGGCUUGUUGCGUCGACUGUGAAAACCUGCGGCUCAACCGUGUGGUCUGCAGUCGAUACGGGCAGGCUGGAGUUCGGUAGGGGAGACUGGAAUUCCUGGUGUAGCGGUGAAAUGCGCAGAUAUCAGGAAGAACACCCGUGGCGAAGGCGGCUCUCUGGGACGGUACUGACGCUGAGACGCGAAAGCGUGGGGAGCGAACAGG